CUAAAGGCAUAUGUGUAUAGCCGACAUGCCAGUAAACAAGAUCCAACCAACAACUGGGCCAAAACAUCAAAAAUCAGCGAGAUCAGAAGCUUAGAAACGCUUGUCAGAGCUAACAAAAAUUCUUGGCUGCCCAGAUUUGCAGUUUUCGUGGUCGGUCAACUGAGUUUGACCACGAUUAUCUUACAACCUAUACAUGAUCCGGUCCUACUACAAGUUCGAGAGAAGAGAUCUCACAGCAUACUACAAGUUCAAAAC
rnacentral:lncRNA from 1 species